rnacentral:rRNA from 1 species
GAUGAACGCUGGCGGCGUGCCUAAUACAUGCAAGUCGAGCGAACAGAUGAGGAGCUUGCUCCUCUGACGUUAGCGGCGGACGGGUGAGUAACACGUGGAUAACCUACCUAUAAGACUGGGAUAACUUCGGGAAACCGGAGCUAAUACCGGAUAAUAUAUUGAACCGCAUGGUUCAAUAGUGAAAGACGGUUUUGCUGUCACUUAUAGAUGGAUACGCGCCGCAUUAGCUAGUUGGUAAGGUAACGGCUUACCAAGGCAACGAUGCGUAGCCGACCUGAGAGGGUGAACGGCCACACUGGAACGGAGACACGGUCCAGACUCCUACGGGAGGCAGCAGUCGGGAAUCUUCCGCAAAGGGCGAAAGCCUGACGGAGCAAAGCCGCGUGAGUGAUGAAGGUCUUCGGAUCGUAAAACUCUGUUAUUAGGGAAGAACAAAUGUGUAAGUAACUAUGCACGUCUUGACGGUACCUAAUCAGAAAGCCACGGCUAACUCCGUG